rnacentral:rRNA from 1 species
UACGGGGGGAGCAAGCGUUGUUCGGAUUUACUGGGCGUAAAGGGCGCGUAGGCGGCCAGCACAAGUCAGUUGUGAAAUCUCCGAGCUUAACUCGGAAAGGUCAACUGAUACUGUGCGGCUAGAGUGCGGAAGGGGCAACUGGAAUUCUCGGUGUAGCGGUGAAAUGCGUAGAUAUCGAGAGGAACACCUGCGGCGAAGGCGGGUAGCUGGGCCGACACUGACGCUGAGGCGCGAAAGCCAGGGGAGCAAACGGG